rnacentral:rRNA from 1 species
UACGGAGGGAGCUAGCGUUGUUCGGAAUUACUGGGCGUAAAGCGCGCGUAGGCGGCUGCUCAAGUCAGGGGUGAAAGCCCGGGGCUCAACCCCGGAACUGCCCUUGAAACUAGGUAGCUAGAAUCUUGGAGAGGCGAGUGGAAUUCCGAGUGUAGAGGUGAAAUUCGUAGAUAUUCGGAAGAACACCAGUGGCGAAGGCGACUCGCUGGACGAGUAUUGACGCUGAGGUGCGAAAGCGUGGGGAGCAAACAGG